AGAGAAACGCGGGAGUGGUGGGGGAUGUGGGUUCCUGUGUGCUGAGCGGAGGAGCCGGGGUGGGGGCGGUGCAAGCGGAAGAAAGAGCCAAGAGAGCGGAAAAUCGGCUGGUGCUGUCGCCGCCCGAGUUUUGUGUUUCCACAGCUUUCCAGUUGGGUACAACGGAGCCGAACUCCGUGUUCCCGGGCUGGAGAGCCUUGGUGUCCCCGCCAACCCCCAGUAGGAAGCGAGCGCUGUAACAUGGGAGGCGUGGUCGCCACUGAUCUUGUCUCCCCCCAGAGCCUUCCUAAAGGCUCUGCCGCCACGAGACUGCACCACCGGGAAAGAAGUGUGUGAAAGUGUACUCCGUAAACAGGCAAUCCUGUACGCGACUUAGGGGCAGAAAGACCCUCCGCACUUUUAUCAUUUGAAAGUAAGGUGGACGAUUCCAGCCUGGUGUCCCUGAGGGUACACACAGGCCCCCCGCGCAGCCAGAGGUGACUCAGGAACCCCCCUUCCAACCCCUGCGUAGAACGCCGAACAGUCUUCGGAGAAUUCGCUUUCCUCCACGUGAAAAGGAAAAGAAAAACAUUUGAGGAGUCGCAGUAGUCACUUGUACUCCCCAAACACACGGGAAGAAGUUGAUCAGUUUGCAUGCUUGGAGUCAAAUUACGCUCAGCACAAAUCCAACGCCCCUGAAUUAAAUGAGCAGUAGAAGCUCUCUGCAAAAAACACAACAGUAUUUGUGACCCGGUAUUAUUUCAGGAGGUAAAAACAUCUAUAAGCAGAUGCAUUUGGGACGUAUGCAUUUCCUGGUAAUGUCAAUAUCGCAUUAAGCUAGUGGGUUUGGGCAGGGAAAGCCUGAAUCGGACAAGAAGCUGGCUUUUUUUUUUUUUAGGCUAUAAAUAACCAGACCAUGCCAGACACAUGUUCUUAGGCUAUGUUCUUAGGCUCAGGUGAUUGGAGUGCCCCCCCCCCCAUCCCCACCCUCAGGGCUUAGGGAGAAUGGAAGAUAAGGUGGAUGCUGUCACCUGUAUUAAUAGUUAGGGCUUGCAUACAUACAGUAAAGUUUCAAGAGUGAAACUUCAUCGACUGAACUCUUUAUGAAGUGACUGCCUGACUCUACACGCGAUGUUUUAGGAGUUGAAUUUUUACUUUCCCCCUGACACCUUUCUUUUUUGUAUCCUCAAGAAACAAAUUUCCGUACCGUAAGUUUACCUGGGACUACCAAAACAGUUCUGUUAGAUGACCGUGGAAUUCACCCCAAAUGUGCACAUAACCAAUAAGGGCGAGGCAGCCCCCUAGAGGGAGCUGUAGGUUGAUGAGCCAAGUGAUUUUAGGUAUGCAGUCUAAUUUCCAAACCUGUUUCCUCAGCUGCAAAACGAGAAUUCCUACAGCCAGAAAGUUGUGAGGGUUUGGGCGGGGGGCGGGGUUGGGGAAGUUGUUUUUGUUUUUUUGAGACAGGGAUUCUCUCUGUCGCCCAGGCUGGAGUGCAGUGGCGCGAUCUCGGCUCGCUGCAACCUCCGCCUCGCCGGCUCAAGCAUCCUCCCACCUCAGCCUGCAGAGUCGCUGGGACCACAGGUGUGCACGACUACGCUCGUCUAAUUUUUUGUAUUUUAAGGGUAAAGACAAGGUCUCACUAUGUUGCCCAGGCCUGUUUCUAACUCCUGGACUCAAGCAAUCCGCCCACCUCGGCCUCCCAAAGUGCUAUUAGAUCCAAUUUUGAUUUUCCUUGGCAUUCUGUUAAUUCAAACACAUGUAGGUUUAGAAGAGAUUUUCACCUAGAUUUUGGAGGAGAUGGACGUCCAUAAACGUACACUCUUUAGCACAAUUUGUUUGAAACUAAUUUGGAAAACAAAAUCUCUCAAUGAGCAGAAAUAGUCAUGGAACAUUUUUUGUUUGUUUUGCUUUUCUUCGUGAAUAAGCAUAUUUAAAAUAAGAUAAAGGGCUUGAGUUAGCAAAGAGACACCUUAUGGACCAUUGUCUUAGUGAUAAAUGAUGUGUGGGCUACUGCCCAGUCAGGCUUUCGAGAGGCCUAUCAGUCUCUAUGCAGAGGAGGAUAGCCACUCAGAAGCAGGUGGCUUCUGCCUUUCCUUUAAAAGUUAAGCUUAGGGAAAGAUAGUCCUGAACAUGUCAUUAGGGUCAGUAUGGUUCUUGCUGCCUCUAAGAAUUAGUAUAUGGGGCCAAAGCAGGGAGAUGAAAGAAUAUGUUCAAGGAAAAGUUCCAAAGACUGCACCAUAAUAUUCACUUUAUUCCACACAAUUUGCACAUUCAUUGUGACUGGCAUCAAUGAAAACCUUGUAGUCAGUGUAAUGUAUUAAAAAAUCACAUAUUGCAUUUUAGGAAAGAGUCCUUAUAAAACAACAACAACAACCUGUAGAUUUUGAACUCCAUAUGGAGCACAUUUUUUCAAUUAGAUGUUUUCUGAGAUGUCAGUGAGUCCGCCCCUACAGAGGAAAGAGGCUAACUUGACUGAAUUGGUAUGAACAGAUAAUACACUACCCACUACAUGAAGCUGCAGUCAUAGCUGAUAGGGUUGGUAGCACCUAUUGAGGUAAUCACCUCAAUACAUGCUUUUUAAAAGAGUGUAGAGAAGUUAGAAUGCAUUUAAUCAACCUACCAUACUGUAUGCCAAGUAACAGACUGCAAUCCAGAACAAGACAUGAUCUCAUUAACCUAGUUCUGCCCUUGCUGUCAGUGAAAAGAAUGACCCUCUUCCAGAUGCGGAAGAAACAUGUAAACUCAUGAGGCAAUUGCAUUAGUGCAUAGGUUUUGAGGAAAGAGGCUGAUACGGUUUGGCUGUGACCCCACCCAGAUCUCAUCUUGAAUUCCCACGUGUUGUGGGAGGGACCCGGUGGGAGGAAGUUGAGUCAAGGGGGCGAGUCUUUCCCAUGCUGUCCUCAUGAUAGUGGUAAGUCUCAUGAGAUCUGAUGGUUUUAUUAGGAGGAAUUUCCCUGCACAAGCUCUCAUUCUCUCUUGCCUGCCGCCAUGUAAGACAUGUCUUUGCUCCUGCUUCACCUUCUGCCAUGAUCAUGAGGCAUCCCCAGCCAUGUGGAACUGCCAGUAAAGGAAUAAAAAAGAUCCACCAAGACAGAGAAUUAAAGGAGAGACUCCAGCAUAUAAGAGGUCAACCAUUUAGGAAAACAGAAAGUGGAUACAGAAGUGGCAACUGACGUAGCGGAACAGAGAAAGCUGAAGGCUAAGUUCAAGAGGCGGGGGAAGCCAGCAAGAAACAAGCUGAUUCCUGUUGCAGAACUCUCAUCAGCUCAGCAAUAAGCACCACCUGGUUCUCUGAGGGUCUCACUUCACCCAGGCUGGAAUGCAGUGGUGUGAUCACAGCUCACUAUAGUCUCGAUCUCCUGGGCCUCCCACAUCAGCCUUCUUCUUUCGUGGCAAUUUUCCCCCAGGAGGGAUUUCCCUGCAGUGGACCUCCUCCCCAGUGGUACCUUCAGCCAUCAGAACACCUCGCUUUAGAUCUGUGGGUCCCAAAUUUCAUCAAAUCCAAUGACCAUUUCUAUGAUCACUCAUUCUGGGGGCAGCCCUCUGGCAUGUAAUGAGCAGUCCUAUGGAGAGGCCCAUGUGACAGUAGCCAUGCGAGUGACACUGGAAGUGAAACCUGCAGCUCCAGUCAAGCCUUUAGAAGACUGCAGCCCUGGCUGACAGCUUGACAGCAAACUCAUGAGAGACUCUCAGCUUGAACAACUCAGCUAAACUGUUCCUGGGUUCCUGGUCCUCAAAAACUGUACGAGAUGAAAAAAAAGUUUGUUUUUUUAAGCUGCCAAGUUUUGGGAUAAUUUGUUAUUCUAAUAUAUUUUUUAAUACCUGGAAGUAAGGUGCUACCAUAAUAAAUACCUAAAAUGUAGGCACAGCUAGGAAACUAGACAGUGGAGGUAGCUGGAAAGAAUUUAAGAAGCAUAGCAGUGAAAGUCUCAGGAGCCUUGAACAAAACAUUAGAAAAACUUUGGACUUUGACCAGGCUGCUGGUGGAGGUUUAAAAGAAAGUGAGAAAAAUCUUGUUGAAAACAGAACAGGGAAUCCUUACUAUGGAGUGGCAUAAAUCUUAGCAAUAUUGUUGUCUGCAAUAAUGUGGGUGGUGGGAAUGUACCUGGUAAACUGGGUGAUCUAAUUUGCUAUUCAUAAAGACAUAAAGAUUCUCAGCUUUUACAGAUGGUGAAAAAUGCUAAAUUAAGAAAUGGCUGAAGGACAGAGGUCAAAUCCUGGGCACCAUCAUGAAAACAUAAUCCAAAGAUGAAGCUGAGAUGUGACUAUAAAUCCUUUGUUAUGACCUCAGAAAGAUCAAAAGUGGUGCCUCAGAGUACCAGUUUGGUCACACAAAGGCCCUCUAAAGUUUUUAAGGCUGUGACUCACAGAUUCUUUCAAAAACAGGGCUCCUGAGAAGCUUAAGAGCAUAGUUUUUCAGCAGAAUCACAAGGUGGGAAAGGGAUUAUCUCAAAAAGAUUUUUGGGCGUGACUUUUGUCUAAUGGAAUGGACCCCCAAAAAUUCAUAGGUGAUUCACAAAUUUUUUAAAAGAAUUAUAUUAGUAGAAACAUUGCCAACUAGAACUCAAAGGGAUAGAGACAGUAUGAAAUGAAAAAAGGCCUUGGUACUCACUUUGCCCCUGUUUCACUGCAGGUUAAGAAAAAAUUUCAGCUGCAUACAUGUACUAACUUUCAUGAAAAAGAAAGAAUAGCUAAGCAUGGUGACUCACUCCUGUAACCCCAGCACUUUGGGAGGACAAGGUGGGAAGACCACUUGAGCCCAGGAGUUUGAAUCAGCCUGGGCAACAUAGCAAGACUCUGUCUCUUUUUAAAAAAGGAUGACUCUGAAGGGGAAGCUAAAAGCCUCAGAGAAUAACUCAUGCGUAGAAAUAGGACUAAAUCCUAAGGCGAUUCCAACAUUUGCCUGGCUGGAUUUCAGAGCUGCUAUGGGGACAUAGUAGUGUGUCCAGUACCUUUCCUUUUUGAAUAUUAAUGCAUAUAGUGUUUAUUCCUGUUCCACCAUUGUGUGUUUGGGGUGUGUGUGUGUGUGUGUGUGUGUCUAUGUGUGUGCGUGUUAGUUUCAGAUUGAGAGGAAUUAUACCCAAGGAGCUAGAGUUAAGAAAUUAUACCUAAGGAACCUCUUGUGUACCUGGUCCUGAUUUAAAUGACAAGACUCUAGACUUUGAGUUGAUGCUGUAAUGAGACAAGAAUUUUAGAAAUGUUGAGAUGGAGUGGACGUGUUUUGCAUGUUGGAGGGACUUGAUUCACUGGAGCCUAGAAGGCAGACUAUGGUAGCCAGCCCUCAAGAUUGUCUCCUCCUGGUAUUCAUACCCUUGUAUAAUUCCCCUCCCACAUUGUACCAGAAUUUAUCUGUGUGACAGAAUAUGGCAGAAGUAAUGAUAUGUCACUUCUGAGAUUAGGUUAUAAAAGACAUUGUGGCUACCAUCUCUCAUCACUCACUCAAAGGGAAGCCAACCACCAUGCAAUGAGAAUCUCAGGUAAUGAGGACCUGAGACCUGUUGUCAAUCACGUGAAUAAGCUUGGGAGGAGAUUCUCCAGCCCCAGUCAAGCCUCAGAAGACUUCAGCCCUAGGUGACAGCUUGAUGAUAAUCUCGGGAGGCAGAACCACCCAACUAAGCCACUCCUGGAUUCCUGACCCUGACCCUGACCCUAGAAACAGUGUGAGCUGGAAUUCUGUGAAGCACAUGACCUCAAGUCUUUGGAUAAAUGGAAACGCAGCUUAUGCCGGAAAGGUAAAAUCUUGAUUCUUUUCUUUUAUUAAUUUUGAGAGUAGGCCAGGAACAGUGGCUCCCACCUGUAAUCCCAGCACUUUGGGAGGCCAAGGCAGGUGGAUCACUUGAGGUCAGGAGUUUGAGACCAGCCUGGCCAACAUGGUGAAACCCCAUCUCUACUAAAAACACAAAAUUAGCUGGGUGUGGUGGCGUGCACCUGUAAUCCCAGCUACUCAGGAGGCUGAGGCAGGAGAAUCGCUUGAACCCAGGAGGCAGAGGUUGCAGUGAGCUGAGAUCACACUACUGCACGCUAACCUGUGCAACAGAGGGAGACUUCAUCUCAAAACAAACACAAAAAAAAUUGAGAGUAGAGUUGGUGCCCUAGCCAACUCAGAUGGUGACCAAUGCGUUGAUCCCUGAGUAUUGUUGUGAACUACUGAAUGUUUAUAUAUUUAUGUUUCAAGCAGUGAUAUUGUUCCUUUUGGCUUGAAUUGUCACAACUUUGCCAGCAGAAGCCUUUUCAGUUUAGGUCCUGUGUACUUUUGACAUGACCUCUUUAAAGUUUGAUUAUUUCCCUGCUUUCUGGCAGAAAAUUAUGUCUUACUCAUUUUGUAAAUGUCCUGAUGUGGACCUAAAAUCAACUAUUUCUCAAAAGGAAUUUCUUUUAGUGGAGAAUGAUAUUUAAAAAUCACAAUUCAGGCACUAAAGGGGAUUUUACUCUUGAACAAGAGCUGAUUGCAAUCACGUAGGUUUUUCUUGGUGCCAUUUCAAUUUUCUAGCUGUGCACUAAUAGUUAUAAAUGUUUUUCCUGCAAAUUCUUUGAGAGAAAAUAUCAUUAUUGCAAAUAUAAAACUUGGUAUUCUUGACUCCAUUUUUCCUUAGGAAAAAUUUUUUUCUGCUUCUUUGAUAACAUAAAUAUUCUUUAGAAAUAAAACUAUUUAGUUUAGCCAAAUGAGUAGAGAAGUGAACGGGUAGAAGUACUAGGGAACUACCCUAGAUAUUUCAAAAUGCUCAACUACAAGGUUUUGGACUCAGAAGCUAUGCUUCAAAAUUUGUUUCUGUUUUCAAGUAUUAACAAAUUUAAAAGCAUAAACAUUUGUUCAUUUUUUGGUAGGAACCUUAAUGUUUUCCAUUUUGUAGAUUAUUUUAGGUAUAUGGAUAUUAACUAUUUUGUUUCUAUCCUUGGUUCAGAAAUCUGUUCAUUUUAUUUGUGGCUGUCAUUUGCAAUUCUUUAAAUUAACACAUGAAAAGAGAUCCAAUUCCAACUUUAUUAGUAGACAAAUGAUAUGCAAAUUAAAACAAGAAUAUUUUUAUUACAACAAAUUAGCAAAGACCUAAAAAAUUAUACUCCAUUCCAGGAAGUUUUAAAUGACAGUCUCACUUUUUUAUGCAUGCCCUGCUAUCAAGUUUCUGGGUUUUGGGUUUUUUUCUACUCGAUAUGUCUCCCAUUUUCUCCCUUCCUCAAUUACAGUAUCAGGGUCCCCCUCACCAUGCCCUCUAUUCUGACCUGCCAGGGUUGAACAGACACAAAGAUGCCCAGCAUAAAAUUCAGGAGCCCAUGAAUUAUUCUCUGUAAAGGGCCAGAUAGUAAAUAUUUCAACCUGUGAGAGCUAAGCAGCAAAAUCAAGAUAUUAUGUAAGUGCUAAGAGUACAGUAGCUCACGCCUAUAAUCCCAGCAUUUUGGGAGGCUGAGGCAGGAGGAUUUCUUGAGCUCAGGAGUUUGAGUCUAGCCUGAGCAACACAGUGAAACACCAUCUCUCUCACUCUUAAAAAAAAAAAAUGGUAGCUUGCACCUAUAGUACCAGCUACUCAGGAGGCUGAGGCAGGAGGGUCACUUCAGCCCAGGAGGUUAAGGCUGCAGUGAGCCAUGAUCAUGCUCUUGUAUUCCAGCCUGGACAACAAAGUAAGACUGUAUCUCAAAAAAUAAAUAAAAAAUAAAUAUAAAAUGUCACCAUUAAAGAUGUAAAAAUCUACUUUUAGGUUGGGGAGCUAUACCAAAAUAGGCAGCAGGCUAUAUACAGUUACCAACCCCCGGCUUAGAUACUCCUCAGAAAGGACUUAUUGCUCAGCUGAGAGGAGGAGUAUUAUCUAACAGCCCCCAGCAAUGAGUUUCAUCACGGUCCACUCCUCAACCCACCCUGCCCCUCCUCUAAACCCAUUCCACCUCUCCCAGUCAAUGACGGAGAGAGGCCUGGUCUCCUGCCGACAGCCAGCAAGGAAAAGCAACCUGAGUCCUAUAGCUGUAAGGAACGACAUUCUGCCAACAACCAGAAUGAACUAGAAAGUGGAUUCUUCCCCAGAGUCUCAAAAUAAGAGUCCAGCUCACACCUUGACUUGGGCUUUCUAAACAGAGAACCAGCCAAAUUAACCCAGAUUUCUGAAGUAUAGACCUAUGAGAUAGUAAAUGGGAGUUAUUUUUAGCUGCAAAGUUUGCAGUAAUUUGUUAUAUAGUAAUAGAAAAUUAAUAAACUGAGAAUUGUAGUUUGCAGAGGAUAGCCCCUGUAACAUGGAACAGACAGGGGAAAGACAAUGAAUGGAUCUGGGAGCAAAUAAGCCAAUGGCCAGACAGACCUUAUCACAACUUUGUUUUGUACAUCCUUUAGCCUAGAUGUUUUUGGCAUGUAUGGCUCACUCUACGUUGUCUCAAUGAGUAAAGAGAUUUAUUUGUGAUGAUGACUGGGAUGUUAGGGAUUUCGGCUAAUUAUUGUUAGUUUUAUUGGAGAAAGACUUUGUUAAUUGGUGAAUGGCUAUGUGAGCCUUUUCUUUCUGUCUGAUUCUCUCCCCUCUGCUGUGGUGUUUGCAAUUGAGGAACAGCUACUAAGAGGUGGCAGCUGCAGAGAAAAGUCCAGAGCCAUACAGAUGAGGCUGGGAACUCUGACUAGCACUGAGUAUUUGAAAGAGAGCUUGGCGAAAGUCUGUUACUACAUGUAGCAGAUACCUGUGACUGCAUAUAGGGAGUGAAGGAGACAGCCAAAAGUGCACUUGAGGAUAACAAAUGGCCAGCCCCUACAUGAUCACUCAUGAAAAUCCAACAGAACCCAGAAGUCUCACUUAGCUUUAAAAAAUCCAUUAUUUUUUUCAGACAGAAGCACUUAGGGAAGCAAAAUGGCUUAUUUCAGCAUGAGAAAGCAAUGUAACAGUACAGCUAAGCUUUGAGGGUCUCCUGAUCAAAAAUUUGUGAGACUAAUAGCUUACACAGGAAAGAGAUGAUAGCCCUUUUGAAUGCCUUCUGAGCGCUCUUACGAGAUGCGCAAUCUAAUUGUGGUGUAAAUACCAGCUAUUGAUGGUGGGUUUUGUUCAUCGGGUUUGUGCUACCACAGUACCAGAGGUCUGUAUCUAUUAGUGCUAGUAAUGUAUGGAUGACCAGGGCUGGUGCAGACAUCUCUGCAGCAAUAAUAAAAGGUAAGAAGAUGCAGACAAAGCUGAAUUUAUUGUGUUUGAGAAGAUAUAGAAUUCAAUUUCCCUGAUAACCAAGCUUAAUUGCACAGAAUUAUGAGAGCUCAUUAAUGAAACCCAAUAUAGACAGUUUAUAUUAGUAAUGGCAUUACAUUGAUUAUCUAAUUUCAGAGUAAGGAAUUAAAGGGGGCCAAAUUAGGGAUUAUUCUGCUUUUACGUAACACCUGUAGUCAGGAAAAAUAAAUAGCUCCCGUUAUUAAACUAAAGCUUUUGUAUACAAAAGAAUGCUAGAUAAUAAAUGUAGAAAUAAUGAUGGAAAUAGAAAAUAUUUUUGCAAGACAUUAUGAAAUAAUCAAUCCAAACAAGGAUCAAUAAUGAAUGCUAAAACUGUUAGUUGAACAGUCAACAGAGAACCAGAUAUUCAAAAAGCACCAAAGUAUCACCCUUAAAAUAACAAGUAAUUUGCUAUUACUUGUUUAUAGCAAACGGAGGAAAAAGUACCCUUUACCAUGGAGAAAUAUGGCUAUUAUCACUAGGUAACUUACUAUCUGAUUGUCCCACUAUUAAUGAUGCUGUGUGACUUCUGAGGUAAUGCUUUAUAAAUUAUAUGACAGCACCUGUCAAUAAUAUUUAAGAGAUAAUGUUUAAGAUGGAAAUGGAAUCUAAAGGCUGGAUUAGAUUCAAGUUAAAGGAAAUUCAAAGCAGAGAAGAACAAAUUAAGGUACACUUGAACACAUUCAGAAUAUGGGACAGAAUAAGACAGCUGUUCUGGUCUCAAAAAAAAAAGUUAAUGACAAGGAAAAAAGGAAGAGGAGCUAGGUUAAGGGACUAAACAGGCAAAACCAAUUCAACAUGGGAUUCUUGAGUGGAUUUUGGUUUUUAAAAAAGCUUUAAAAACACUUUGGGUUAAUGGUGAAUUUUGAAUAUGGAAUAUUCAAAUAUCAGGCAGGGUCCUCGCAGGAAACCGAUGGCAAACUCAAAAGAACUUAAUCAUGAAUCAGUUAAAGAAGGGACUAUUGAGGGAUGUAGGCAGAGCUAAUGGAAUCAAUAGGGGGUGCUGAGGCACCCAGGGCGCAGCAGGGAAGCUGUCACCAACUGCUGUUAGACCCAAAGGAGCAGGCAUGGGGGCAGUUAUGAGUGUCUAGUCACAGCUGGAGCUGCUGAACAGAGUACAGCUUCACAAGGGAUACAGUGGCAGAUGCAGCCAGUACCGGACAAGGAACUCAGCAGGGAGGAGCAGAGAGAGUAUCCCAGCCACUCUCCCACCCUCUGAUCUCUUGCCAGGGCUCACCAUUGGCCUCUGAUGCCUUGUAGGUGCCUCCAGUUGGCUGACCCCAGUUGGAGUCCUGGCCACCCAUGGCAGUCUGUAGAAAUAAGCCUUUUGGAGCUGAGAGCAAAACAGAAAAAAGUGGAGAAUGCAUCUGGAGGUAGAAGGCAAAGGGAGAAUAAAGCACGACAAGUACAGAGUAGAUUAGAGAAUUACUGUUGAUUGUUAGAUGUAAUUGUCUUGUGAGAUCAGAGAAUGCUCAGUUUUUUUGUUUUUUUUUUAGAUGUACAUUGAACUAUUAAGGAAUAAAAUGUCAUAAUGCCUCAUUCAUUCUGAACUGAUUCAGCAAGAGAGACAGAUAGAUAAGUAGGUAGAUAGACUAGAUAUACAAAGCACAUAUAGACACAAGCUUUUUUCUUAUUUAUUGCUACCAACUUCAUGCAUCCAGCCUCCAAUCGUGUCAUGCCUAAAGAAACAAUCCCUGCCCCCGUUUCUUAGACCCAGUACCUGGCACAUGAUAAACGAUAAAAAAUAAGUUCUUACCCAUGCAUCCCUUUUUCAGUGGGAAUUAUACUUCUUGGCUGCCCCCUACACACUUCUAUUAUAAAGAAAUUUAUAUUGUUAUAUUUUUUCACCACAAGAAAAAUUAUCAGGUUUAAAGAGGGGGAUUAACUAAUGAUAAAGGUGUAAACAGUGCAAGAAGACUUAAUUAUUCUUAGCGUGUGUGUGGCUAACAACAGAGCACUAAAAUGAGUGAGGCAGAAACAGAUAAAAGUGCAAGGAGAAAUAGAUAAAUCCAGUAUCAUAGCUGGAGAAUCCAACACACCUUAAUAAGAAAUGGACAGAUCCAGCAGGCAGGAAAUCAGUGAGGACAUAGCUGAACUCAGUAGCAGUACCAAUCAACUAGAUAUGAUUGAUAUCGGUAGACUGUUUCACCUUACACAUUCUUCUCAAGCUCACAUGGAACAUUCACCAUAAUACACCACAUUCUAGGCCAUAAAAUGCACCUUAACAGUUUAAAAGACUAGAAAUCACACAUCUGCUUUCAGACCACAUUGUAAUUAAACUAGAAAUCAAUAACAGAAAGAUAGAGGCCUCAGCUCCUGCUGAUGAAAAAAUAAUAACUGAAGGAUAGCUAGAAAAUCCCAAAUACUUGGAGAUUAAGAAACACUCUUCUAAAUAAUAUAUGGAUAAG
rnacentral:lncRNA from 10 species